rfam:Ciona savignyi cont_31980, whole genome shotgun sequence.
GCUGCGAUGGCCGAGUGUUUAAGGCGUUGGGCUCGAAAAUAAUGGGAUAUUCCCGCGCAGGUUCGAAUCCUGUUCGCAGCG